rnacentral:rRNA from 1 species
AUUGAACGCUGGCGGCAGGCUUAACACAUGCAAGUCGAGCGGGGGAAGGUAGCUUGCUACCGGACCUAGCGGCGGACGGGUGAGUAAUGCUUAGGAAUCUGCCUAUUAGUGGGGGACAACAUCUCGAAAGGGAUGCUAAUACCGCAUACGUCCUACGGGAGAAAGCAGGCGAUCUUCGGACCUAGCGCUAAUAGAUGGGCCUAAGUCGGAUUAGCUAGUUGGUGGGGUAAAGGCCUACCAAGGCGACGAUCUGUAGCGGGUCUGAGGGGAUGAUCCGCUACACUGGGACUGGGACACGGCCCAGACUACUACGGGAGGCAGCAGUGGGGAAUAUUGGACAAUGGGGGUAACCCUGAUCCAGCCAUGCCGCGUGUGUGAAGAAGGCCUUAUGGUUGUAAAGCACUUUAAGCGAGGAGGAGGCUACUCUAGUUAAUACCUAGGGAUAGUGGACGUUACUCGCAGAAUAAGCACCGGCUAACUCUGUGCCAGCCGCCGCGGUAA